rnacentral:lncRNA from 1 species
UAUCUACUUAUGUAGUCGCUUGCUUAAUAUUUAUCUUCUCUAUCAGACUAUAAGCUCCAUGAAGGCAAGGUAUGCCCACCUAGUACAGUAUCUGACACGUAUAAGAAAGGUAGCAUAUUAUCUAACUCACGACUCUCUCAAUAAAGAAACAGCAUCCCACAAGACAAAGUAUUUUGAUCACUACUUUAAAAGGAAAUGUGAUGAAAUUUCAUUGCUUUUCUCUGCACAGCAUUCAUGGAGGCAUCCCCAACUCUUCUUUCCCAUACGGGAGGCAACCUCAUUCUCCUUAAUGACUCCCUGUUCUCUCCCAUCAACCACAAAGGAACCAACAGGAGUUUAAAGACAGAAAGAAAGGGCAAUUCUGGAUCCAGAUUAGCAGAAAAGGCAUCAGGCUUGUCAAACCCCGAGUUCCUCUCCCACAGAGCUGAGGGGCCUGUACAGCUACACCUGUGCACACUACAAAGUUAUCUCGUAUUUCCACUAGACACCUCCACUUCCUUCCCUCCCACUACUGAACACAUCAACAUGCUGUAGGAAUUUCUCUUCUGAAUAGUGCUUUGCCCUCAUAAUGACAUCCGGCCAGAUAAAUGGGAGGACACUGGAAUAAUUUGAUUUCUACCAGAUAUUUCUACUCUUGCUACCUGUCCUUUUUCUUCUCCUUCUAAAAUAAAUGUCGACUCCUCUUAGCCACAUUUCUUCCUACUUGUCCUAUAAAGAAAAGACUAGGGUUGGAAGACCCAAGUGUGAUUUGUUUUCUUUCUCUGAUCUUUUUUUCUAGUUAGCCCUCUCUAAACUAGAACGUAUGUGAUUCAAUCAUUCAUUUAUUAAUUCAAUAAAAUCAUGUAUUGAGUGCCUAUUAUCAGCUAGGUACGCAGUGAAUGAGACAAUAUCAGAUAGUUUCAUGUUAAAUAAAGGGAACAGAAAAGAGCAUGAGCCCUGGACAUAAGAGGGGGUAAGUAGAGGGGUCUCAUGGCGGGAGACAAAGGGCAAAGAUGGGAGAGCAUUGUCUUUCAUCACUUCCACAAUCAUGUGAGGGUCCUAUUGGGAUGCUCAGGCCUAGCACUUGGAUUGCUCCGCUGUGAGCUGAUGAGUGCAAAAUGUUUGGGGGUAAGACUUCACAGGUGAUCCUGAGGAUACAAAGACUCCACUGCAACCAUUUUCUUGAUGACCUGGAGAAUUUCAACACUUUCAUGUGAGAGUACAAGACAGCUAACCUGCUACUGCGGAAAUAAAAACUAAACACUAAAAAAUGUAGCUCUGAAAUAGUGUGGCCCAAGAAAUUGCUGAGGUUUGGAAUGAAAUAUGUUUGUUGUAGGGUAAGAAUAGGUAUGCUAAUCUCCUGCAAUUUUAUCCUUUGGGUUUCUCUGGCAUUUAUAAGUGAAGUGAUCUUAUUUUCAAUAACCUUAAUAAAAUUUGAGUUUGAGAGAAGCGUAAAAAAAUCCAUAUUUCAUCCCAGGUCAAUGUUCUGCUCUGUCUAUUCUAAUUUUUAAGGCAAUGUGAAGAGUUUCAAAAAAAUAAAACCAAAAAAAAGUCUUGGCUAAUGCUGAAAACCGAUGUGCAGUGAGGUAUGUAUUUUGAAGCACAUGAACUUCCAACAUAGACGAAAUUUUUGUGGCUUGCCCCCAGGUAAGAAUAAGGUCAUUAUAAAAAUUGUUUAAGUUGUUCUCAAAACUAUAUUUAGAAAAAUAAAAUUUGUGCUAUAAACUUUUUGGGACUCAACUAGUAUGUUAUCAUAUGUGUGCGUUUUUAGUUUUAUGUUCUUUAUUUUUACAGAACCUUAUCAUAUUUUUAGGUAUUCAAUAGAGAAACCACAGAGAGCUACAGUAAGUAAUACCCAGCUAUGUAAAUCAGUUUCAAUCUCCCUUUUGCAUAUAUCUGCCACAUUUCAGUCUGCCCAUGUUUCUGCUAUUCAUCUACCGUUGAAGAAAACUCCCACUGGUAUCGUACACAAUGUCCACAGGUAUUAUAAAUAUCCUUUCAUAGAUUUCCUCUGAGGCAUAAAGCAUGGGGUCAAUUCAAAGUCAAUCUUAAAUUUUUAAGGCAGGCAACUAUAUCAUUUGCAUACAGAUCAGCAAUCUGUCCUUUACUUAGAGAAAGAUUUACAGAUACUUUAAAAUCAGGCCUAAUCUAUAAAACAAACAAGCACAAAACUAAGCUAAGGUGGGGAGAGAGGGAGGGAGGGAGGGAGGGAGAGAGGGAGAGGGAGAGAGAGAGAGAGAGAGAAACAGAUCAGAUUGUAAUUGCUUUGAAUGUUUGUCAGAGAAGAAAUUCUUUCUGUAAAUUGCUUUUGGUUAAGAUUGCAACAGUCCCAGUGUGAGCUAAAUUGGGACCCAUGAUCUGCAAGUACUCAGGAAUUGCCCCAAGGUGCUAGGUAUCAUUUAUUUUUUAUUUAAAUCACUACCAUAAAAUGUAAGUUUCAGGCACUGAUUUGUUGGAGGGGAUUGGGGGUGGUUUGUUGCUAUGUAAAUAAAACAUUGUUUUCAAUUAUCUGCAGCUUAAUCAUUGCAUGCUUGCAAUUUGCUUUGGUCAAACAGAACUGUCUGUAAAUGUUAUUCUCUGAAAGCCAUUCAUCUUCUGCCCUUCCUGAAAAAAAAAAGUGCAGUAUCCUAGAAAGAGCCAGGCCAGGUGACCAGGACACUCUCAGGACCUAAUGGUAGAGAUGAAGCUCUCGGAUCACUCAAGGGGCUACCUGCCUGGCCAGAAAUCAAAGAAGUUCAGGGACAGGAAGAAUGAAAGAGCACAGGAGAAACAGCUAGAGGCAAACUGCACCUUGUCAAAAGUCAGCCCCCGGCAAGGCAACCUACGUGGGCUUUUGCAGAGCAGGUCAGAUCCUAACAAAACCCAGAAUUGGCUGUCAGUCUCUCCAGGAGUUCCGCAACCUGCAUUCUCACCGCUGUCCACCACAUCAUCAUGUUUAGGUUGACCCCUGGCUCUUCUCAGAGUAUGUCAUGGUCUUUCACACUAGUCCUGAUUUAAGCCCAUUCUACAGAAAGGAUCAGCUUUUCACACUUUCUAAGGUGUCAGUGAUGAGUCAGCCUGAAGGGUGAACUCCUAGAAGCACAGCAUAACCUUUUCC